AGCAUAGCGAUUUGGGAUAAGUCCCUUGGAAAAGGGCAGCAUGGAGGGUGAUACUCCCGUCUCUGCUCGGAUUGUCUGUGUGUACGAUACGCUUUCUUUGAGUCGAGUUGUUUGGGAAUACAGCUCAAAGUAGGUGGUAAAUUCCAUCUAAAGCUAAAUAUUGGUGCGAGACCGAUAGCGAACAAGUACCGUGAGGGAAAGAUGAAAAGAACUUUGAAAAGAGAGUUAAAGAGUACCUGGAACUGUUGAAAGGGAACCGUAUCGUUUCCAGUGUUUUAUCCUGUGCAUAUUUCAUUAGCGGAGCAAUUUGCUGGUGCCCUGUGCACGGGUGUGACGUCAGAGUCAGUUUGUAUGCUGCGGGAGAUGGUCAGUGAGGAGGUGCGUCACUUCGGUGAAAGUUAUAUCUCGCUGUCUAGUAGCCGUGGUUGAGACUGAGGUGCC
rnacentral:rRNA from 2 species